AGUGAACGCUGGCGGUAGGCCUAACACAUGCAAGUCGAACGGCAGCACAGUAAGAGCUUGCUCUUACGGGUGGCGAGUGGCGGACGGGUGAGGAAUACAUCGGAAUCUACUUUUUCGUGGGGGAUAACGUAGGGAAACUUACGCUAAUACCGCGUACGACCUACGGGUGAAAGCAGGGGAUCUUCGGACCUUGCGCGAUUGAAUGAGCCGAUGUCGGAUUAGCUAGUUGGCGGGGUAAAGGCCCACCAAGGCGACGAUCCGUAGCUGGUCUUAGAGGAUGAUCAGCCACACUGGAACUGAGACACGGUCCAGACUCCUACGGGAGGCAGCAGUGGGGAAUAUUGGACAAUGGGCGCAAGCCUGAUCCAGCCAUACCGCGUGGGUGAAGAAGGCCUUCGGGUUGUAAAGCCCUUUUGUUGGGAAAGAAAAGCAGCAGGUUAAUACCCCGCUGUUCUGACGGUACCCAAAGAAUAAGCACCGGCUAACUUCGUG
rnacentral:rRNA from 1 species